rnacentral:rRNA from 1 species
GGUUUUACUGUCUCUUACUUCCAAUCAGUGAAAUUGACCUUCCCGUGAAGAGGCGGGAAUGCACAAUAAGACGAGAAGACCCUAUGGAGCUUUAACUAACCAACCCAAGAGAAUAGAUUUAACCAUUAAGGAAUAACAACAAUCUCCAUGAGUUGGUAGUUUCGUUGGGGUGACCUCGGAGAAUAAAAAAUCCUCCGAGCGAUUUUAAAGACUAGACCCACAAGUCAAAUCACUCUAUCGCUCAUUGAUCCAAAACUUGAUCAACGGAACAAGUUACCCUAGGGAUAACAGCGCAAUCCUAUUCAAGAGUCCAUAUCGACAUAGGGUUUACGACCUCGAUGUUGGAUCAGGACAUCCUGAUGGUGCAACCGCUAUCAAAGGUUCGUUUGUUCAACGAUUAAAGUCCUACGUGAUCUGAGUUCAGACCGGAGU